UACAGAGGUCUCAAGCGUUGUUCGGAUUCAUUGGGCGUAAAGGGUGCGUAGGCGGCGCGGUAAGUCGGGUGUGAAAUCUUGGAGCUUAACUCCGAAACUGCAUUCGAUACUGCUGUGCUUGAGGACUGGAGAGGAGACUGGAAUUUACGGUGUAGCGGUGAAAUGCGUAGAUAUCGUAAGGAAGACCAGUGGCGAAGGCGGGUCUCUGGACAGUUCCUGACGCUGAGGCACGAAGGCCAGGGGAGCAAACGGG
rnacentral:rRNA from 1 species